rfam:Gossypium raimondii Chr08_contig_437, whole genome shotgun sequence.
UACUUGCUUGCUCCUUCCAGUAGUCAUAUGCUUGUCUCAAAGAUUAAGCCAUGCAUGUGUAAGUAAGAACAAAUUCAGACUGUGAUACUGCGAAUGUCUCAUUAAAUCAGUUAUAGUUUUUUUGAUGGUAUUUGCUACUCGGAUAAUCGUAGUAAUUCUAGAGCUAAUACGUGCAACAAACCCCGACUUCUGGAAGGGAUAUAUUUAUUAGAUAAAAGGUGGACGCGGGCUUUGCCCAUUGCUCUGAUAAUUCAUGAUAACUCGACGGAUCGCACGGCCUUUGUUCCUGCAACGCAUCAUUCAAAUUUCUGCCCUAUCAACUUUCGAUGGUAGGAUAGUGGCCUACUAUAGCGGUGACGAGUGACGGAGAAUUGGGGUUCGAUUUCGGAGAGGGAGCCUGAGAAACGGCUACCAUAUCCAAGGCAGCAGGCGCGCAAAUUACCCAAUCUUGACACGGGGAGGUAGUGACAAUAAAUAACAAUACCAGGCUCUAUGAGUCUGGUAAUUGGAAUGAGUACAACCUAAAUCCCUUAACGAGGAUCCAUUGAAGGGCAAGUCUGGUGCCAGCAGCCGCGGUAAAUCCAGCUCCAAUAGCAUAUAUUUAAGUUGUUGCAGUUAAAAAGCUCGUAGUUGGACUUAGGGGUGGGUCAGCUGGUCCGCCUCACGGUGACCACCAGUCUGCUCGUCCCUUCUAUCGGCGAUGCGCUCCUGGCCUUAAUUGGCCAGGCCUUUUCUCUGGCGCUGUUACUUUGAAGAAAUUAGAAUGCUGAAAGCAGACCUACGCUUGUAUACAUUAGCAUGGGAUAACAUCAUAGGAUUUCGAUCCUAUUGUGUUGGCCUUCGGGAUUGGAGUAAUGAUUAAUAGGGACAGUCGGGGGCAUUCGUAUUUCAUAGUCAGAGGUGAAAUUCUUGGAUUUAUGAAAGACGAACAAUUGCAAAAGCAUUUUCCAAGGAUGUUUUCAUUAAUCAAGAACGAAAGUUGGGGGCUCAAAGACGAUCAGAUACCGUCCUAGUCUCAACCAUAAACGAUGCCGACCAAGGAUCGGCGGAUGUUGCUUUUAGGACUCCACUGACACCUUAUGAGAAAUCAAAGUCUUUGGGUUCCAGGGGGAGUAGGGUCGCAAGACUGAAACUUAAAGGAAUUGACGGAAGGGCACCACCAGGAGUGGAGCCUGCGGCUUAAUUUGACUCAACACGGGGAAACUUACCAGGUCCAGACAUAGUGAGGAUUGACAGAUUGAGAGCUCUUUCUUGAAUUUAUGGGUGGUGAUGCAUGGCCAUUCUUAGUUGGUAGAGCGAUUUUUCUGGUUAAUUCCAUUAACAAAAGAGACCUCAGCCUACUAACUAGCUACAUGGAGGCGAUCCUCCCUGGCUAGGUUCUUAGAGGGACUAUGGCCUUUUAGGAUAAGGAAGUUUGGGGCAAUAAUAGGUCUGUGAUGCCCUUAGAUGUUCUAGGUCGCAGGCGCGCUACACUGAUGUAUUCAAUGAGUCUAUGGCCAUGGCCGACAGGCCCGGGUAAUCUUUGAAAUUUCAUCGUGAUGGGGAUAGAUCAUUGCAAUUGUUGGUCUUCAACGAGGAAUUCCUAGUAAGCGCGAGUCAUCAGCUCACGAUAACUACGUCCCUGCCCUUUGUACACACCACCCGUCCCUCCUACAGAUUGAAUGGUCUGGUAAAGUGUUCGUAUCUCGGCGACGUGGGUGAUUCACUGCCUGCGACGUUGCGAGAAGUCCACUGAACCUUAUCAUUUAGAGGAAGGAGAAGUCGUAACAAGGUUUCCAUAGGUGAACUUGUAGAAGGAUCAUUG